UACAGAGACUGCAAGCGUUAUUCGGAUUCACUGGGCGUAAAGGGUGCGCAGGCGGCCAAGUGUGUCAGGUGUGAAAUCCCGAGGCUUAACCUCGGAACUGCGCCUGAAACUACUUGGCUAGAGUGUGGUAGAGGGUAGCGGAAUUCCCGGUGUAGCAGUGAAAUGCGUAGAGAUCGGGAGGAACAUCCAUGGCGAAGGCAGCUACCUGGACCAACACUGACACUGAGGCACGAAAGCUGGGGGAGCGAACAGG
rnacentral:rRNA from 1 species